rnacentral:rRNA from 1 species
ACGGGGCGCAGCAGGCGCGAAAACUGUGCAAUGCGCGAAAGCGCGACACGGGGAACCUGAGUGCCUUGACACAGUCAAGGCUUUUAUCAAGCCUAAAAAGCUUGAUGAAUAAGAGCUGGGUAAGACGGGUGCCGGCCGCCGCGGUAACACCCGCAGCUCUAGUGGUGGUCACUUUUAUUGAGCCUAAAGCGUUCGUAGCCGGUUCCGUAAAUCUUCAGAUAAAUUCAUUCGCUCAACGGAUGAUCUUCUGAAGAGACUGUAGAACUUGGGACCGGGUGAGGUUGAAUGUACUUCCGGGGUAGGGGUAAAGUCCUGUAAUCCUGGAAGGACAACCGGUGGCGAAGGCGUUCAACUAGAACGGAUCCGACGGUGAGGAACGAGGGCUAGGGGAGCAAACCGGAUUAGAUACCCGGGUAGUCCUAGCUGUAAACACUGCCCACUUGGUGUUGCCUCUCUGUUGAAGGGGGGCAGUGCCGGAGCGAAGGUGUUAAGUGGGCCGCUUGGGGAGUAUGGUCGCAAGGCUGAAACUUAAAGGAAUUGGUGGGGGAGCACCGCAACGGGAGGAGCGUGCGGUUUAAUUGGAUUCAACGCCGGAAAACUCACCGGGAGCGACCUUUGGAUGAGAGUCAACCUGAUGAGUUUACUCGAUAGAAGGAGAGGUGGUGCAUGGCCGUCGUCAGCUCGUACCGUAGGGCGUUCACUUAAGUGUGAUAACGAGCGAGACCCCCAUCUCUAAUUGCAAGUAUGUCUUUGCGGACAUGCGCACUUUAGAGGGACCGCCAGCGCUAAGCUGGAGGAAGGAGGGGUCGACGGCAGGUCAGUACGCCCCGAAUCUCCCGGGCUACACGCGCGCUACAAAGGACAGGACAAUGAGUUGCAACCUCGAAAGGGGGAGCUAACCUCGAAACCUGUUCAUAGUUAGGAUUGAGGGCUGUAACUCGCCCUCAUGAAUGUGGAUUCCGUAGUAAUCGCGGGUCAACAGCCCGCGGUGAAUAUGCCCCUGCUCCUUGCACACACCGCCCGUCAAACCAUCCGAGCUGGUGUUGGAUGAGGGUAUGCCCGAGAGGACAAACUCGAAUCUGAUGUCAGUGAGGAGGGUUAAGUCGUAACAAGGUAGCCGU